UGGGGAAUAUUGGACAAUGGGGGGAACCCUGAUCCAGCCAUGCCGCGUGUGUGAAGAAGGCCUUAUGGUUGUAAAGCACUUUAAGCGAGGAGGAGGGUACUGGUAUUAAUACUACCAGGUACUGGACGUUACUCGCAGAAUAAGCACCGGCUAACUAUGUGCCAGCAGCCGCGGUAAUACAGAGGGUGCGAGCGUUAAUCGGAUUUACUGGGCGUAAAGCGUGCGUAGGCGGCUAAUUGAGUCGGAUGUGAAAUCCCCGAGCUUAACUUGGGAAUUGCAUUCGAUACUGGUUAGCUAGAGUGUGGGAGAGGAUGGUAGAAUUCCAGGUGUAGCGGUGAAAUGCGUAGAGAUCUGGAGGAAUACCGAUGGCGAAGGCAGCCAUCUGGCCUAACACUGACGCUGAGGUACGAAAGCAUGGGGAGCAAACAGG
rnacentral:rRNA from 1 species